GCCCCCGUAGCUCAGUGGAUAGAGCAAUGGAUUCCUAAUCCAUGUGCCGCAGGUCCGAUUCCUGCCGGGGGCACCA
rnacentral:tRNA from 4 species